rnacentral:lncRNA from 10 species
AUUGCUUAGUUAUGCAUACAUAUGUAGUUAAAGAAGUCAAGAAAUACAAGAGAAUGAAAAUCAAGUUGAGAAAAGCAGUCAUAUCUGAGGCUUCCUAAGAGAAGUGAUGCCCAAGACAUUAAAACAUGAAUGGGCGUUAGAUGAAGACAAAAGAGCAUUCCAUCGUAGAAGACAAUGUAGCAUGUGACGGUGAGUACAAGCAGUGUGGUGUUGCCCAUGCAAGACAAGAGUGAUGGGAAAUAAAGCCAAAAGGCAGAUGGUGA